AGGUCAAGAGUCCUAUUUUCAGUGUUGAUAUAUGAUAUUUCGGAUAAUGAAUCAUGAUAUUCAUGAAUUUCAUGAUUCAUGAUGAAAAAUAUGAAGUUGACUUCUUUCGUAUACUGAAAUUAUCUGAAAUUAACAUUAAAAUCAUCAUUCAAAAAAUAUGGAAAAUCUUUUUCUACUAUAAUUUCUGGAGAAGAACAGUUUAACACUGAAACCAGAAACAGAGAACUGAAAAAUAUGUUACAAUCAAAUAAAAAGGUAUCUUCUGAGCAUGUUAAGGAAAGAGAAAACUCCUAAAAGGCGAGCAAAAUAAAACAGGGUACUUUUAUAACAAAAAUCAAUUACAAAUACAGUUUACUAAAAGGUCUCAAGAAUAAUUAAAUGAUGGAUUUAUUCGCGGAAUCUUGUGAAAAAAUUGAUGUCACCGAUAAUUAUAAAGUAGAAUAUGGUACUAAAAUUUAUCGAAUAGGAAAACUGUUUUCCCAUACUUUAUGGAGGACUGAAUGUGAAGGAGAAGUUUUUUGGAGUGUACAAGGAACCGAUUAUGAUGGUUCUUCAUGGAUAAUUACUCAAUUUUUUGGACCAACUGAAGAAGCUCAACGAUAUCAGCAACAGGUUGUUUUACAUCACUCGACAGAUUCAAAAUUGAAGAUGUUGUACUUUAGUUCAUGUGCUGAUGGCAUUAACUGCAUUCAUAUUUCUAAAAAUAUAAUGCAUCAUUUUAGAGAUGUGAAAAAUAGUUUUCUUUUUGAAUUUCGAAUAGUAAAACCAAAAAGACACCCAUAUCCGCAGCGAAUGUUGUGAUUUGGAAUAUAUAUUUUAUUUAUUUUUUAUAGUUUAUUGAGUGUUAAGUUUGUUUAAUUUAUUUUAUUUUUGUGUAAUUUAUUCUACUGACACUAAUAUUACUUAAUACUAACGUGUGAGUACAUCAAUCUUGAUUAUUAAAAAAUAUUGAAAUAAA